rnacentral:rRNA from 1 species
CGGGGUGCACCAGGCGCGAAAACUUUACAAUGCGGGAAACCGUGAUAAGGGGACACCGAGUGCCAGCAUCAUAUGCUGGCUGUCCAGGUGUGUAAAAUACACCUGUCAGCAAGGGCCGGGCAAGACCGGUGCCAGCCGCCGCGGUAACACCGGCGGCCCGAGUGGUGAUCGUGAUUAUUGGGUCUAAAGGGUCCGUAGCCGGUUUGGUCAGUCCUCCGGGAAAUCUGACGGCUCAACCGUUUGGCUUUCGGGGGAUACUGCCAGGCUUGGAACCGGGAGAGGUAAGAGGUACUACAGGGGUAGGAGUGAAAUCUUGUAAUCCCUGUGAGACCACCUGUGGCGAAGGCGUCUUACCAGAACGGGUUCGACGGUGAGGGACGAAAACUGGGGGCACGAACCGGAUUAGAUACCCGGGUAGUCCCAGCCGUAAACGAUGCUCGCUAGGUGUCAGGCAUGGCGCGACCGUGUCUGGUGCCGCAGGGAAGCCGUGAAGCGAGCCACCUGGGAAGUACGGCCGCAAGGCUGAAACUUAAAGGAAUUGGCG